rnacentral:rRNA from 1 species
GAUGAACGCUGGCGGCGUGCCUAAUACAUGCAAGUCGAGCGAACGGACGAGAAGCUUGCUUCUCUGAUGUUAGCGGCGGACGGGUGAGUAACACGUGGAUAACCUACCUAUAAGACUGGGAUAACUUCGGGAAACCGGAGCUAAUACCGGAUAAUAUUUUGAACCGCAUGGUUCAAAAGUGAAAGACGGUCUUGCUGUCACUUAUAGAUGGAUCCGCGCUGCAUUAGCUAGUUGGUAAGGUAACGGCUUACCAAGGCAACGAUGCAUAGCCGACCUGAGAGGGUGAUCGGCCACACUGGAACUGAGACACGGUCCAGACUCCUACGGGAGGCAGCAGUAGGGAAUCUUCCGCAAUGGGCGAAAGCCUGACGGAGCAACGCCGCGUGAGUGACGAAGGUCUUCGGAUCGUAAAACUCUGUUAUUAGGGAAGAACAUAUGUGUAAGUAACUGUGCACAUCUUGACGGUACCUAAUCAGAAAGCCACGGCUAACUACGG